rnacentral:rRNA from 1 species
ACGUGGGCAACCUGCCUGUAAGAUUGGGAUAACUCGCGGAAACGUGAGCUAAUACCGAAUGAAGUCUUUCACCGACCUGGUGAGAGGAUGAAAGAUGGCUCUUGAGCUAUCACUUACAGGAUGGGCCCGCGGCGCAUUAGCUAGUUGGUGGGGUAAAGGCCUACCAAGGCGACGAUGCGUAGCCGACCUGAGAGGGUGAUCGGCCACACUGGGACUGAGACACGGCCCAGACUCCUACGGGAGGCAGCAGUAGGGAAUCUUCCGCAAUGGACGAAAGUCUGACGGAGCAACGCCGCGUUGAAGUGAUGAAGGUCUUCGGAUUCGUAAAACUCUGUUGUCAGGGAAGAACAAGUUGUGUUCUAACAGGACAUGACCUUGACGGUACCUGACCAGAAAGCCCCGGCUAACUACGUGCCAGCCGCGGC